ensembl:snoRNA small nucleolar RNA SNORA51
GGCCUCCUGGUGCUGCCCACAGGCUGCGUCCUCACACCGACCGCACAGAACUAGGAGCAGAGUAAACCCUCCCACACACCGCAGCGCAGGCCCUCGGCCUGGUCUGUAUUGUGAAUGGGGAGACAUUG